rnacentral:rRNA from 1 species
AUUGAACGCUGGCGGCAUGCCUUACACAUGCAAGUCGAACGGUAACAGGUCUUCGGAUGCUGACGAGUGGCGAACGGGUGAGUAAUACAUCGGAACGUGCCCGAUCGUGGGGGAUAACGAAGCGAAAGCUUUGCUAAUACCGCAUAAGAUCCAAGGAUGAAAGCAGGGGACCGCAAGGCCUUGCGCGAACGGAGCGGCCGAUGGCAGAUUAGGUAGUUGGUGGGAUAAAAGCUUACCAAGCCGACGAUCUGUAGCUGGUCUGAGAGGACGACCAGCCACACUGGGACUGAGACACGGCCCAGACUCCUACGGGAGGCAGCAGUGGGGAAUUUUGGACAAUGGGCGCAAGCCUGAUCCAGCAGUGCCGCGUGCGGGAUGAAGGCCUUCGGGUUGUAAACUGCUUUUGUACGGAACGAAAAGCCCUGGGUUAAUACCCUGGGGUCAUGACGGUACCGUAAGAAUAAGCACCGGCUAACUACGUGCCAGCAGCCGCAGUAAGAC